GAUGAACGCUGACAGAAUGCUUAACACAUGCAAGUCCACUUGAACUUCGGUUUGGGUGGCGGACGGGUGAGUAACGCGUAAAGAACUUGCCUCACAGAUAGGGACAACAUUUGGAAACGAAUGCUAAUACCUGAUAUUAUGAUUAUAUGGCAUCGUAUAAUUAUGAAAGCUAUAUGCGCUGUGAGAGAGCUUUGCGUCCCAUUAGCUAGUUGGGGAGGUAACGGCUCACCAAGGCGAUGAUGGGUAGCCGGCCUGAGAGGGUGAUCGGCCACAAGGGGACUGAGACACGGCCCUUACUCCUACGGGAGGCAGCAGUGGGGAAUAUUGGACAAUGGACCAAGAGUCUGAUCCAGCAAUUCUGUGUGCACGAUGAAGUUUUUCGGAAUGUAAAGUGCUUUCAGUUGGGAAGAAAAAAAUGACGGUACCAACAGAAGAAGUGACGGCUAAAUACGUG
rnacentral:rRNA from 1 species